rnacentral:rRNA from 1 species
UACAGAGGUCUCAAGCGUUUGUUCGGAUUCAUUGGGCGUAAAGGGUGUGUAGGUGGCGCGCUAAGUCGGGUGUGAAAUUUCGGAGUUUAACUCCGAAACUGCAUUCGAUACUGGCGUGCUUGAGGACUGGAGAGGAGACUGGAAUUCAUGGUGUAGCAGUGAAAUGCGUAGAGAUCAUGAGGAAGACCAGUGGCGAAGGCGGGUCUCUGGACAGUUCCUGACACUGAGACACGAAGGCCAGGGGAGCAAAACGGGG